GUCAGCGAGGCCUACAGGGAAAUGCUUGCUGCAGACAACCUUGAUAUUGACAACAUGAGACACACGAUUCGAGAUUACUCCUUAUCGGGGGCCUACCGAAGGAUCAUCAUCAGGCCUCAGAGCGUCAGCUGUUGUUGCAUAUGAUGAUCCUAAAAUUCCACUUUUCAACACGGAUGUGGACAACCUCGAGGGGAAACCACCACCAGUGUUUGCUUCUGAAGGCAAAUACAGGGCUCUGAAGAUGGACUUUUCUCUUCCUCCUUCUACUUACGCCACCAUGGCCAUUCGAGAAGUGCUCAAAAUGGACACCAGCAUCAAGAACCAGACCCAGCUAAAUACGAGCUGGCUGCGAUGAACAGUGCAUCGCUCAGAGAGGGGAUGCAGACCUGCUUCUGACCUCCUAUUCUGGUCUUUUUUUAAGUGCUGACUCAUGUUUGGAGUUUAAAACUUUUGUAGUAAAGGAUGAUUUGUAUUUUGU
rnacentral:lncRNA from 1 species